UAAAUUUGUAGAUAUGAUUUACGUACAUCAUGAUGAUUUGACAACUUUAAGACAAGAUUUCGAUGAAUUAUUAAAAGUAGACGAAGAUUUUAACGCAAUAAUGGAAGAUUUAUACGAUGUGAACUUUCUAUUUCCAACCAGCUAUUGUCAUGAGUACAGAAAUAAUAACUUAUAAUGGUACAGCUUGAAGUUAAAUGGUAAACAUUAGUAGUACAAGGUAAAUACAUUUUAUAUAAAUAAUAUUAACCAAAAAGUGUAAAGUUUUAACAAAUUAAAUUAACGUUUAGGAUAUGUCAAAAUUAAUGACUCUAUAGUCUUUCCUUUUACAUAUGGGUGAAAUAUUUAUAAUACUAGUUAGAGAGAGAUUUGGACUGAGUUUGAUCUCCAGUUUUUAGAUGAUUAGGCCCAUGUAUUUAAAUUUAAUUUGUUUGUUGUGAUUUACAGAAAGUACCU